rnacentral:rRNA from 1 species
CCUGGCUCAGGAUGAACGCUAGCUACAGGCUUAACACAUGCAAGUCGAGGGGCAGCAUGAUCGAAGCUUGCUUUGAUUGAUGGCGACCGGCGCACGGGUGAGUAACGCGUAUCCAACCUUCCCUAUAGUAGAGGAUAGCCCGGCGAAAGUCGGAUUAAUACUCUAUGUUUUCCAAUGCAGACAUCUAAGUUGGAACAAAGGUUCACCGCUAUAGGAUGGGGAUGCGUCUGAUUAGGUAGUCGGCGGGGUAACGGCCCACCGAGCCAACGAUCAGUAGGGGUUCUGAGAGGAAGGUCCCCCACAUUGGAACUGAGACACGGUCCAAACUCCUACGGGAGGCAGCAGUGAGGAAUAUUGGUCAAUGGGCGAGAGCCUGAACCAGCCAAGUAGCGUGCAGGAUGACGGCCCUAUGGGUUGUAAACUGCUUUUAUACGGGGAUAAAGUGAGGGACGUGUCCCUUUUUGUAGGUACCGUAUGAAUAAGGACCGGCUAAUUCCGUGCC